rnacentral:rRNA from 1 species
UUCCGGUUGAUCCUGCCGGAAGCCAUUGCUAUCGGAGUCCGAUUUAGCCAUGCUAGUCGCACGAGUUCACACUCGUGGCGGAAAGCUCAGUAACACGUGGCCAAUCUACCCUCAAGACACGAACAACCUCGGGAAACUGAGGCUAUUCGUGAUACAACUCCCACGGAUGAACACGGGGAGUCACAAACGCGUUAGCGCUUGAGGAUGAGGCUGCGGCCGAUUAGGUAGACGGUGGGGUAACGGCCCACCGUGCCCAUAAUCGGUACGGGUUGUGAGAGCAAGAGCCCGGAGACGGAAUCUGAGACAAGAUUCCGGGCCCUACGGGGCGCAGCAGGCGCGAAACCUUUACACUGCACGACAGUGCGAUAAGGGGACUCCGAGUGCGAGGGCAUAUCGUCCUCGCUUUUGUGUACCGUAGGGCGGUACACGAAUAAGAGCUGGGCAAGACCGGUGCCAGCCGCCGCGGUAAUACCGGCAGCUUAAGUGAUGGCCAAUCUUAUUGGGCCUAAAGCGUCCGUAGCUGGGCCUCGAAAGUCCGUCGGGA